UGGGGAAUAUUGCGCAAUGGGCGAAAGCCUGACGCAGCAACGCCGCGUGAGUGAUGAAGGCCUUCGGGUUGUAAAGCUCUUUCGGCCGGGAAGAAGGGUGUUGGUUCUAAUAAAGCUAACAUUUGAUGGUACCGGAAGAAGAAGCACCGGCUAACUUCGUGCCAGCAGCCGCGGUAAUACGAAGGGUGCGAGCGUUGUUCGGAAUUAUUGGGCGUAAAGGGUUCGUAGGCUGGAAAUUAAGUCAAGUGUGAAAUCCCCGAGCUUAACUUGGGACGUGCAUUUGAAACUGGUUUUCUUGAGUAUCGGAGAGGGUGGUAGAAUUGCUGGUGUAGGAGUGACAUCCGUAGAGAUCAGCAGGAAUACCGGAGGCGAAAGCGACUGCCUGGCCGAGAACUGACGCUGAGGAACGAAAGCGUGGGGAGCAAACA
rnacentral:rRNA from 1 species